GUGUGUGUGUGUGUUAUGAUCAGAAUCACUGUCAUUCUACUAAUCAUCAUUUCUAUCUGAACAGUGGACAUGGACUAAGUCAGUGGACAUUGCUUCCAAAAGAUCCCAUCAGCUCACCAGUGUUAAAACUGUACCUAGAACUAUCUGAAUCUAGAACAUGAAUCUACAACAUAGUCUGAACACUAGACUAUUGGAUGUAGUUCAGUUUAUUCUGUUUGGCUGUAACUGAUGCUGGGACUGAUGUCGUCAUCAUUCUACAUACUUUUAUUGAACGUGUAACUGCCACCUCGAUGGCUCAGCAGGGCAACAGUCUGACCCUUUAAGAGGCCAAUGCCCAUGUACUGCUGAAGCGCAUGUGCGCCAGUGAUCCGACUGCCAGCCUGGCUACUGAGGCUUUCCCAACUGUGGACCAUGCCAAUGUAACGGGCAUGCAGCGAGCAGUGACCCACACACCGGCACCUGCCAUGAGUGCAGAGACCACACAGCAGGCCAUCAGUGUGAGAGGUGUAUGGAUUGUUUCUAUGGUAACCCAGUGCUGGGUUCAGGGGAGCACAGCCGUUCGUGUCCAGGUUACCCAGGCAGUGGUCAUUCCAACGGACAUUCCUGCCAUAAGAAAUCAGCUUUCAUCCAGAUCACUUUCCACUGCUUGGAAAAGAACAAGCCUGCUUUAUACUGUGCACUGCAAUGAUUGGCCUGUUAUGCUACAGUUUCCUGACCUUCUCCCAUUUGCUCUGUAUUCCUGUGUGUGAUGUUGGGGACACCCCAGGUCCACUGCAGUGACAGGUUGUGUUACUGUGACAGGCAAACUGGGUCGUGCAGGACCAAUGUUGACAGCCACAACUGUAACGGUGUGCCCCAACCACUGGAAUCUGGGAAUGGACCAGGGCUGUGAGGCCUGCGGGUGCCACCCACAGAACUCCCUCAGCCCUCACUGCAGCCUGAUCAGUGGUCCGUGUCACUGCAGGCCUGGUUUUGGAGGGCAACAGUGUACCGAGCGCGAGCCGCUCCACUGGGGGAACCCGAACGUGCGAUGUGAGG